rnacentral:rRNA from 1 species
AUACGGAGGAUCCGAGCGUUAUCCGGAUUUAUUGGGUUUAAAGGGUGCGCAGGCGGCCAUUUAAGUCAGCGGUUAAAUCGUGGGGCUCAACCCCAUUCUGCCGUUGAUACUGGGUGGCUUGAUUGCGGUCGAGGUUGGCGGAAUUCGUUGUGUAGCGGUGAAAUGCAUAGAUAUGACGAAGAACACCGAUUGCGUAGGCAGCUGACCAGACCGCAAAUGACGCUCAUGCACGAAAGUGCGUGGAUCGAACAGGAUUAGAUACCCUGGUAGUCCGCACAGUAAACGAUGAAUACUUGUUUUCGGCGAUAUAAUGUCGGAGGCAAAGCGAAAGCGAUAAGUAUUCCACCUGGGGAGUACGCCGGCAACGGUGAAACUCAAAUGAAUUGACGGGG